GUUUAUAUUGUACAUUAUAGCACAAAAGACAUUCCGUUACAUACAAGAGUGUGUAAAAGUUACUCUCAGUCAUUACAACCUCGAGUCAUAGAUGCACAGGUGUGUGUGGAUUGCGACCAAAGGUGUGCACAUGUGGAGUGAACCACCAGCAACAACCAUUGGCCGACUUUGAAGUUUCAUUAAUGAUCCUUCCGCAGGUUCACCUACGGAAA
rnacentral:misc_RNA from 1 species